rnacentral:antisense_RNA from 1 species
CUUCAGCGAGCCGAUCAGCAGGGGCCGGUCCGACGCGCGGUCCUUUCCGUACGUGGCGAGCAGCGCGCUCGCCUC